rnacentral:rRNA from 1 species
CGGUAGCGUANGACACUAACCACUUCGAACAGGGGGAUAACAUCGAGAAAUUGGUACUAAUACCCCAUAACAUCACCGGAGGCAUCUUCGGUGGUUGAAAACUCAGGUGGUCAGAGAUGGACAUGCGUUGUAUUAGCUAGUUGGUGAGGUAACGGCUCACCAAGGCGACGAUACAUAGGGGGACUGAGAGGUCAACCCCCCACAUUGGUACUGAGACACGGACCAAACUCCUACGGGAGGCAGCAG